UGGGGAUUAUUGCACAAUGGGCGAAAGCCUGAUGCAGCGACGCCGCGUGAGUGAAGAAGUAUUUCGGUAUGUAAAGCUCUAUCAGCAGGGAAGAAAAUGACGGUACCUGACUAAGAAGCCCCGGCUAACUACGUGCCAGCAGCCGCGGUAAUACGUAGGGGGCAAGCGUUAUCCGGAUUUACUGGGUGUAAAGGGAGCGUAGACGGCGAAGCAAGUCUGAAGUGAAAACCCAGGGCUCAACCCUGGGACUGCUUUGGAAACUGUUUUGCUAGAGUGUCGGAGAGGUAAGUGGAAUUCCUAGUGUAGCGGUGAAAUGCGUAGAUAUUAGGAGGAACACCAGUGGCGAAGGCGGCUUACUGGACGAUUACUGACGUUGAGGCUCGAAAGCGUGGGGAGCAAACAGG
rnacentral:rRNA from 1 species